CCUACGGGUGGCAGCAGUGAGGAAUAUUGGUCAAUGGGCGAAAGUCUGAACCAGCCAAGCCGCGUGAGGGAGUAUUGCCUUAUGGGUUGUAAACUCUUUUUGUCGGGGAGCAAAAUCCGGACGUGUGCGGCUGUGAGAGUACCUGAAGAAAAAGCAUCGGCUAACUCCGUGCCAGCAGCCGCGGUAAUACGGGGGAUGCGAGCGUUAUCCGGAUUUAUUGGGUUUAAAGGGUGCGCAGGCGGAUUUUUAAGUCAGCGGUCAAAUCGUGGCGCUAAACCCCAACCAGCCGUUGAUACUGGGGAGCGAGAGUGUGGGAGAGGGAUGCGGAAUGCGUGGUGUAGCGGUGAAAUGCAUAGAUAUCGCGCAGAACCCCGAUUGCGAAGGCAGCAUACCGGUGAACAACUGACGCUGAGGCACGAAAGCGUGGGUAUCGAACAGGAUUAGAUACCCUAGUAGUC
rnacentral:rRNA from 1 species